rnacentral:rRNA from 1 species
GACGAACGCUGGCGGCGUGCUUAACACAUGCAAGUCGAACGGAAAGGCCCUGCUUUUGUGGGUUGCUCGAUUGGCGAACGGGUGAGUAACACGUGAGUAACCUGCCCUUGACUUUGUGAUAACUUCAGGAAACUGGGGCUAAUACCGCAUAUGAUCUCCUGCUGCAUGGUGUGGGUUGGUAAGUUUCGGCGGUUGGGGAUGGACUCGCUGCUUAUCAGCUUCUUUGUGUGGUAGUGACUUACCAAGGCUUUGACGGGUAGCCUGCCUGAGAGGGUGACCGGCCACAUUGGGACUGAGAUACGGACCAGACUCGUACGGGAGGCAGCAGUGGGGAAUAUUGCAGAAUGGGCGGAAGCCUGAUGCAGAAACGCCGCGUGCGGGAUGACGGCCUUCGGGUUGUAAACAGAUGUCGAAUGUGACGAAGAGUGAGUGACGGUAAUGGGUAAAGAAGCAACGGCUAACUACGUG